CCCCUCGCCCUCCGCCGGCCUCCCCUCGCCGCCCUAGCCGCCGGAUUAGCUCCGGCAAGCCUUGAACCGCAACCCACGAAAUGGGUUUCCAGCUGGUUCGGGCCCGCUUUUGGGCCGUUUCCGGGCCCCGAACCCGAGCCGUGCUUUGGGAAGAAUGCUCCUCGCAUCGCCCCGUCGGAUUGAUCCGAUUUGCGCGCGAUUUGGUAAGUAAUCUCACUAAUCCGGAUUAGUUGGCUAAUUAUGCUUAAGGUUGGUUUAGUUUUAAUUAAUUAGGUUUAGGUGGUUAGAUUAUAAUACAUUAGCAAUUAUUAGUCAAUUGUGAUGCGGUUUAGAUAAAUUAAUUGCGCAAUUAGCAAGUAGACGUGGUCUACUAAUUAUUGGAAGCAUCUCGGGAAUUUUCCGACCCCUAAUCGGGCUUCAAUUUGGCGAUUCGGGACUAAGUGGGAUUUUUGGCAUUUAAAUAUUAUUUUUCGGAAUUAAAUUAAUUAAUUAUUUAUUUUCCGAAAAUUCAACUGGGAUGGCCAGUUACCGGAAUAUUAUGCUGAUGAUCGUGGUGAAGUCUGUUUAUUUAAUUGAGCUUUAUUUUGAGCUAAAUUGAAUUUUUAAUAUUAAUUAUUUAAUUUUCGAAAUUAAUUAAUUAUUUAUUUAUUUUCCGAAAAUUCAAUUGAGAUGGCUAGUGACCGGAAAUUUAUGUUGGUAAUCGUGGUGCAGUCUGUUUAUUUAAUUGGGCCUUAUUUUGAGCUAAACGGAAUUUUUAAUAUUUAAUAAUUCAUUUUCGAAAGAAAUAAAUAAAUAAAUUAUUUUUCGGAAAUUAAGAUUGAGAUGGCCAACGACCGAAAUCUCGUGCUGAUUGUCGGGGCGCAGUCCAUUUAUUUAUUUGAGCUUUAAUUUGUACUGAAUUGAUUUAAUUGUGGAUUUUUAGGAUAUGUUCCUAAAUUGAUUAUUUGGGUAAAUUGAGUACGAAUUAAGGUUGUGGAUAAUUACUUUAGAAAUGAGAUGAAUCAUCAUGAAAGGCACGUGACUCGGUGAUUUGGUAUAUUGCUUCGGAGAAUGCACGUGGCUCGGUGAUUAGUACGUUGCCUUGGAGAAUGCAUGGGGCUUGAUGAUUAGAUAUGUCACCUCGGAGAAUGCACAUGGCUCGGUGACGAAGUAUGUCGCCUUGGAGAAUGCAUGUGGCUCGGUGAUUAAGUGUGGCAUCUUGAAAGAGACACGUGGGCUCGGUAAUUUGAUGCAUUACCUUGGAAAAUGCAUGUGGUCUCAAUGAGUACAUUUGGCAUCUUGAAGAGACACGUGGGCUUGGUGACUUGAUGCAUCGCCUUGGAGAAUGCGCGUGGGCUCGCUGAUUCAAAAUGACAUUUUAAAGAGCAUGUGGCUCGAUGAUCGGUUCCAUCACCUUGGAGAAUGCACGUGGUUCGGUAAUAAAGAAUAUCGUUUCAGAGAAUGCAUGUGACUCGGUGAUUGGUUUUAUCAGUUGAGACUGUAUAGCAAUUACUAGAAUGACCUAGAGAUGGUUCGGCUGACAUGUAAUCGACUAAGUCGAUUGAUCAUUGCCUUAAGUCUGAUGUUGCAAAUUAAUUGACUGAAUGGAAAUGACCGUGAGUGGUCUUGUUGGCUUGUAAUCGACUGGGUCGAUUUGAUCGAUGCUUCGAUCUGUGAUAUGAUUACUUGGGUGCCUAUUGUGAAUUGUACUGACUUACAAGUGGGAUCUGAGGCCAAGGUAAGUCCUUUGACCUGUGCGUGUUUAUGCAGCUUAUAGUAUAAUGGUUUACUAAUUGGGCCUUAGUGGGGUAGAACUCGCUGAGACGUAAUCUCAUCUCGGUUUGGGGAAAACAUUUCAGGACCUCGAUGAGGAGCUGAGGAGAAGGAUUUUUGAAAGAAGAAGAUAAUACUUAGAGAAGUCUUAAAUAUGAUCCGGAUGAACUGAGAUUCUAUCUUCUUUUGAGAUCUCUAAUUUGAUGUGAAUAGAAAUAGAGUAAAAAGUUGUGAAGUACUCUGGUUUGUGUUUUGUAUAAAAGUUUGGUUAUAAGUUUCAAUAUGAAAAAUAUGGCCCUGCUUUUCUAUCC
rnacentral:lncRNA from 1 species